rnacentral:rRNA from 1 species
CCUGACUGCUAUCGGAUUGAUACUAAGCCAUGCGAGUCAUUGUAGCAAUACAAGGCAGACGGCUCAGUAACGCGUAGUCAACCUAACCUAUGGACGGGAAUAACCUCGGGAAACUGAGUAUAAUGCCCGAUAGAACAUUAUGCCUGGAAUGGUUUAUGUUCCAAAUGAUUUAUCGCCGUAGGAUGGGACUGCGGCCUAUCAGUUUGUUGGUGAGGUAAUGGCCCACCAAGACUAUUACAGGUACGGGCUCUGAGAGGAGUGGCCCGGAGAUGGGUACUGAGACACGGACCCAGGCCCUAUGGGGCGCAGCAGGCGAGAAAACUUUGCAAUGUGCGAAAGCACGACAAGGUUAAUCCGAGUGGUUUCUGCUAAAGGAACCUUUUGUCAGUCCUAGAAACACUGAUGAAUAAGGGGUGGGCAAGUUCUGGUGUCAGCCGCCGCGGUAAAACCAGCACCUCAAGUGGUCAGGAUGAUUAUUGGGCCUAAAGCAUCCGUAGCCGGCUUUGUUAGUUUUCGGUUAAAUCUGUACGCUUAACGUACAGGCUGCCGGGAAUACUGCAGAGCUAGGGAGUGGGAGAGGUAGACGGUACUCGGUAGGAAGGGGUAAAAUCCUUUGAUCUAUUGAUGACCACCUGUGGCGAAGGCGGUCUACCAGAACACGUCCGACGGUGAGGGAUGAAAGCUGGGGGAGCAAACCGGAUUAGAUACCCGGGUAGUCCCAGCUGUAAACUAUGCAAACUCAGUGAUGCAUUGGCUUGAUGCCAAUGCAGUGCUGCAGGGAAGCCGUUAAGUUUGCCGCCUGGGAAGUACGUACGCAAGUAUGAAACUUAAAGGAAUUGGCGGGGGAGCACCACAAGGGGUGAAGCCUGCGGUUC